UACGUAGGGGGCUAGCGCUGUCCGGAAUCAUUGGGCGUAAAGCGCGCGUAGGCGGCCAGAUAAGUCCGGUGUGAAAGCCACAGGCUCAACCUGUGAAUGCCGCUGGAAACUGUCUGGCUAGAGUCCGGGAGGGGCGAGUGGAAUUCCUGGUGUAGCGGUGAAAUGCGCAGAUAUCAGGAGGAACACCAAUGGCGAAGGCAGCUCGCUGGAACGGAACUGACGCUGAGGCGCGAAAGCGUGGGGAGCGAACAGG
rnacentral:rRNA from 1 species